AGUAAAUAGAUACCCAGGUAGUCCACGCCGUAAACGAUGAAUACUAGGUGUAGGGGUUGUCAUGACCUCUGUGCCGCCGCUAAACGCAUUAAGUAUUCCGCCUGGGGAGUACGGUCGCAAGAUUAAAACUCAAAGGAAUUGACGGGGGCCCGCACAAGCAGCGGAGCAUGUGGUUUAAUUCGAAGCAACGCGAAGAACCUUACCUAGACUUGACAUCUCCUGAAUUACUCUGUAAUGGAGGAAGCCACUUCGGUGGCAGGAAGACAGGUGGUGCAUGGUUGUCGUCAGCUCGUGUCGUGAGAUGUUGGGUUAAGUCCCGCAACGAACGCAACCCUUAUUGUUAGUUGCUACCAUUUAGUUGAGCACUCUAGCGAGACUGCCCGGGUUAACCGGGAGGAAGGUGGGGAUGACGUCAAAUCAUCAUGCCCCUUAUGUCUAGGGCUACACACGUGCUACAAUGGUCGGUACAAUGAGAUGCAACCUCGCGAGAGUGAGCAAAACCUAUAAAACCGAUCUCAGUUCGGAUUGUAGGCUGAAAC
rnacentral:rRNA from 1 species